AGAGAAAUGCAAUUGGGACCGAUGCCUGCGAGUCGAGAGGGUUCGGCCCUCGGCGAACUGCUCAGUAACACGUGGAUAAUCUAACCUUAGGUGGAGCAUAACCUCGGGAAACUGAGAAUAAUACUCCAUAGAUCUUUGAGGCUGGAAUGCGCUUAGAUUGAAAGCUUCGGCGCCUAAGGAUGAGUCUGCGGACUAUCAGGUAGUAGUCAGGGUAAAGACCUGACUAGCCUACGACGGAUACGGGUUGUGAGAGCAAUAACCCGGAGAUGAUAUCUGAGACACGAUAUCAGGCCCUACGGGGCGCAGCAGGCGCGAAAACUUCACAAUGCGCGAAAGCGCGAUGAGGGGAUCCCAAGUGCUUGCACGUAAGUGUAAGCUGUUUUUCUGUCUAAAAAGCAGAGAGAGUAAGGGCUGGGUAAGACGGGUGCCAGCCGCCGCGGUAAUACCUGCAGCUCAAGUGGUGGCCGCUAUUAUUGGGCCUAAAACGUCCGUAGCCGGCUGAGUAAAUGCCUGGGUAAAUCGUGUGGCUUAACCAUACGAAUUCCGGGUAGACUGCUCAGCUUGGGACCGGAAGAAGUUAGAGGUACUCCUGGGGUAGGGGUGAAAUCCUGUAAUCCUGGGGGGACCACCAGUGGCGAAGGCGUCUAACUAGGACGGGUCUGACGGUGAGGGACGAAGCCCUGGGGCGCAAACCGGAUUAGAUACCCGGGUAGUCCAGGGUGUAAACGCUGCUUGCUUGAUGUUAGCUGGGCUCCGAGCUCGGCUAGUGUCGGAGAGAAGUUGUUAAGCAAGCUGCCUGGGAAGUACGGUCGCAAGACUGAAACUUAAAG
rnacentral:rRNA from 1 species